rnacentral:rRNA from 1 species
GUUCGAUUGUAAACAGGUCAGACGCUGGCGGGACGCUUUACACAUGCAAGUCGAACGGCAGCACGGACUUCGGUCUGGUGGCGGUGGCGAACGGGUGAGUAAUGUAUCGGAACAUGCCUGGUAACGCGGGGGAUAGCCUGCGCGAAAGCGUAGCUAAUGCCGCAUACGCCCUUCGUGACGCGGGGGACCUUCGGGCCUCACGCACUAUUAAACAGCCGAUAUCGGAUUAGCUAGUUGGGUGGGGUAACGGCUCACCAAGGCGACGAUCCGUAAGCUGGUUUGAGAGGACGACCAGCCACAUGGAUUGAGACUGGCGGCCGGAGCUCCUACGGGAGGCAGCGGUGGGGAGCACUGGACAAUGAAGCUUCUGAUCCAGCCAUCCCGCGUGUGUGCGAUGAAGGCCUUCGGGUUUGUCAACACUUUGGCAGGAAAGAAACGGCACGGGAUAAUACCCCGUGCAACUAUUACCUGCAGAAUAAGCACCGGCUAACUACGUGCCAGCAGCCGCGGUAAUACGUAGGGUGCAAAGCGUUAAUCGGGAUACUGGGCGUAAAGCGUGCACCUGAGCGGUUCGGAAAAGAUGUGAAAUCCCAGAGCUUAACUUUGGAACGUGCAUUUUUAACUACCGAGCUAGAGUGUGUCAGAGGGGAGGUGGAAUUCCGCGUGCUGAUGAAAUGCGUAGAUAUGCGGAGAACACCACGAUGGCGAAGGCAGCCUCCUGGGAUAACACUGACGCUCAUGCACAGCGUGGGGAGCAAACGGGAUUAGAUACCACCAGGCGGUCCACGCCUAAACGAUGUCAACUGGCUGUUGGGGCCUUCGGGCCUUGGUGGCCUGUGCAACGUGAGGAUUGACUGCCUGCAAGUACGGUCGCAAGAUUAAAACUCAAAGGAAAUUGACGGGGACCCACAAGCGGUGGAUGAUGUGGAUUAAUUCGAUGCAACGCAAAAACCUUACCUACCAGCAUGUCUGGAAUCCCGAAGAGAUUUGGGAGUGCUCGCAAGAGAACCGGAACACAGGUGCUGCAUGGCUGUCGUCAGCGGCUCGUGUCGUGAGAUGUUGGGUUAAGUCCCGCAACAGGCGCAACCCUUGUCAUUAGUUGCUCCACCUGACACUCUAAUGGAGCUGCCGGUGACAAACCGGAGGAGAGUGGGGGAUGACGUCAAGUCCUCAUGGCCCUUAUGGGUAGGGCUUCACACGUCAUACAAUGGUCGGAACAGAGGGUCGCCAACCCGCGAGAGAGCCAAUCCCAGAAACCCGAUCAAUAGUCCGGAUCACCCGAUCUGCAAUAUCGACUGCGCGAAAUCAGAAUCCUUCAUCGCGGAUCAGCAUGUCGCGGUGAAUACGUUCCCGGGUCUUGUACACACCGCCCGUCACACCAUGGGAGUGGGUUUUACCAGAAGUAGUUGAGCCUAACCGUAAGGAGGGCGAUUACCACGGUAGGAUUCAUGACUGGGGUGAAGUCGUAACAAGGUAA